GAGGAGAGGCUGAAUGCUCUUCUGGGCCUGCUCUGCCAAUGGGGCUCCCUGGGCAGUCAGGGAGGGGGAGACGCACACUGGGUGAGCUGGGAAAGCAAGGCCAGCAGCCAGGGGAGAACAGGAAAUGCUGCGCAGGAGGGAGAGGAGGAGGGCCCCGCUAGUCCCUGCUCUCCAAUGAGGGACCCUCAGGAGGAGGAGGCCUGUGAUUGAGGACACUGAAGAGUUAACACAUGCAGUGAUAGUUACUGCUGCCUUAGGCCACUCCUCUCCCCUUGUGCUCUCAGGAGAGCUCGCUGGGCCAGGCAUGCUGGGGAAUGGGGGUGUUAGUCGUGUGCUGGGAGAGGAGUAGCAUGCACCACAUGUUGCAGACCGAUCCCCUGAAGCCAGGUGCUGGGGCCUAGCUCACAGCCCUGGUGGCGAUGGUGCGGGGUCCCAGCCCAGCCGCCAUCCUCCACUGUGCUCAGCACUUGCUUCGCUUGCAGAUGGGAACCCUGCCCAAGGCUCUGUGGCAGCAAUGGUGAUUGGCAUUCUCCUGGCCACUGUAUUCCUGCUCCUGCUAGCUUUGAGCACAUGCUACUGGCUGAAGAGGAGGGUGUCAGCGGGCAGGAUGCCGGAGGAGAGAGCCACCAGCCAAGGCUUUGACAACGUCGCUUUUAGAGAUGACAGGGUCACUAUAACUCCACUACCUGCAGAUGGGGAAGCAGAACCAGAUGUGAGCCUCCCAUAAUAGGCACCUGUUUGUACUGUAGCUGCACAUACAGAAUGAAACGUGGAUUCUGCAAGGCCUCACACUCCUCCAGCAACAUUGGGCUCAACUUUCAUUUCCAAGCCUACCCUUGAAACUGUUUUGCCUAUUGACUAAAACGGAAGCUUUGGUUGAGACAAACAAGGUCAGCUGGAAAGAGGAAUACAAGCCCCUUUUUGAACUUUUUGAGUAUGAACAGAUUCUGUGUAACUGAAUUUCCUGGAGCACGUUCAAGAGAGUCCAUCAGUACUGUCAUAUUCUUGCAGUUUCCCAUAUAGUAUUGCCCUUUCCAUAUGAAGUUCUGUCCCCUUGAUUUUAUCUAAAAUAAAAUGAAUUCUAUAAAAGUCA
rnacentral:lncRNA from 1 species